rnacentral:rRNA from 1 species
UACGAAGGGGGCUAGCGUUGUUCGGAUUUACUGGGCGUAAAGCGCACGUAGGCGGAUCUUUAAGUCAGAGGUGAAAUCCCAAGGCUCAACCUUGGAACUGCCUUUGAUACUGGGGAUCUUGAGUCCGGGAGAGGUGAGUGGAACUGCGAGUGUAGAGGUGAAAUUCGUAGAUAUUCGCAAGAACACCAGUGGCGUAGGCGGCUCACUGGCCCGGUACUGACGCUGAGGUGCGAAAGCGUGGGGAGCAAACAGG